rnacentral:rRNA from 1 species
CCUACGGGAGGCAGCAGUCGAGAAUCAUUCACAAUGGGGGAAACCCUGAUGGUGCGACGCCGCGUGGGGGAAUGAAGGUCUUCGGAUUGUAAACCCCUGUCAUGUGGGAGCAAAUUAAAAAGAUAGUACCACAAGAGGAAGAGACGGCUAACUCUGUGCCAGCAGCCGCGGUAAUACAGCGGGCUCAAGCGUUAUUCGGAAUCACUGGGCGGAAAGCGUGCGUAGGCUGUUUCGUAAGUCGUGUGUGAAAGGCGCGGGCUCAACCCGCGGACGGCACAUGAUACUGGGAGACUAGAGUAAUGGAGGGGGAACCGGAAUUCUUGGUGUAGCAGUGAAAUGCGUAGAUAUCGAGAGGAACACUCGUGGCGAAGGCGGGUUCCUGGACAUUAACUGACGCUGAGGCACGAAGGCCAGGGGAGCGAAAGGGAUUAGAUACCCGAGUAGUC